UACGUAGGGUGCGAGCGUUAAUCGGAAUUACUGGGCGUAAAGCGUGCGCAGGCGGUGAUGUAAGACAGUUGUGAAAUCCCCGGGCUCAACCUGGGAACUGCAUCUGUGACUGCAUCGCUGGAGUGCGGCAGAGGGGGAUGGAAUUCCGCGUGUAGCAGUGAAAUGCGUAGAUAUGCGGAGGAACACCGAUGGCGAAGGCAAUCCCCUGGGCCUGCACUGACGCUCAUGCACGAAAGCGUAGGGAGCAAACAGG
rnacentral:rRNA from 1 species